CCUGUUGAGAUGGUUACUGCUCUUCUGUUCUGGUAACCCUGCAACUUCGAAGGCACCACACGGUGACUCUUCGAGCACAGAAACAUUCCUGAACUCCUGCCUUCCUCCGAGACAGCCUCACAUGUUGGUCAGAUAGGGUAGUGGUCCUCUCCUCUCCUGACCCCCUAUAGGCCCCCCCCCUUCUGUAGAGCCCACAGAAGACCCUCGUAGUUCCGACUUCCCUCCCUCUUCUCGGGAACGGUCCCCACCACAUGCCUGUGUGCACAGAGGGAGCACCUUGCCAGACUAUUACUCAUCCCCUUGAGUUUCCGUUGACCUCCUGACCUUCUCCAUGACCUAAGCGGGGCUAACCAGCAUUCUUCCCUGGGAUUCAUCAUGUUGAAAGUGGAAGGAGCUUUCCUUCUCCCAGACGUGUAGAUCCAGAGUUGUUGGGAGCCGCAUGGAGAUCACCAGCUUGCAGAGAGAGAACGAGGCUGACACACAGAGAGGCAGAGACAGAAGACACAGCAUGACUGAGUCCCCGGGUCAGGGGUCCUCCCGCCCAGCCUCUCCCACCGCUUAGUGGCUCAAAUCGUCCUUAGACGGUAGCAGGGCGGCCCGUUUCCCCCAGCCUCUUCUGAGGUCCAGCUGAUUGGACUGUGGGUGGACAUUUGACCCUGGGAGAAUCAAUCCAGAAGCUGGAUGGGUCCAAUCGGAUUGUGUCUCCUAGAACCGGAGUAUAGUUGUCAGGGUCCUAUGGUGGCCGGGGCUGAACUCUUGAGGUAAAUAGAACCUUUGAAGGGCAGUCAUGAGGAUGCUUACAUAAGCGGAGGUUCCGAGGAUGACUUUGACAUGAAGGCCUCAGAGAAGAGGGUGGCCCCUGGACACCAUGGAGGGGGUCAGGGAUGGCUGACCCGCUUGGAGCAUGCCCACCAGUAGCAAAAAUUUCCCUCUAAGCCUGGCUUUGCAACAAGCCAGGGGCAGCGGCCCUCCCCUCCAGUCUCUCCUCUGCCUUGUAGCCAGGGCAGCCCUCCAGAAGCAUAUAUUCCUUGCUGCCAUUUCCAAGACCAAGGAUUUAGUGGCUUCAGACUGUGUGACUGUGUGA
rnacentral:lncRNA from 12 species